rnacentral:rRNA from 1 species
AACGAACGCUGGCGGCAUGCCUAACACAUGCAAGUCGAGCGGAGAUGAGGUGCUUGCACCUUAUCUUAGCGGCGGACGGGUGAGUAAUGCUUAGGAAUCUGCCUAUUAGUGGGGGACAACAUUCCGAAAGGAAUGCUAAUACCGCAUACGUCCUACGGGAGAAAGCAGGGGAUCUUCGGACCUUGCGCUAAUAGAUGAGCCUAAGUCGGAUUAGCUAGUUGGUGGGGUAAAGGCCUACCAAGGCGACGAUCUGUAGCGGGUCUGAGAGGAUGAUCCGCCACACUGGGACUGAGACACGGCCCAGACUCCUACGGGAGGCAGCAGUGGGGAAUAUUGGACAAUGGGGGGAACCCUGAUCCAGCCAUGCCGCGUGUGUGAAGAAGGCCUUAUGGUUGUAAAGCACUUUAAGCGAGGAGGAGGCUACUGAGACUAAUACUCUUGGAUAGUGGACGUUACUCGCAGAAUAAGCACCGGCUAACUCUGUGCCAGCAGCCGCCGUAACAC